UACAGAGGUCCCAAGCGUUGUUCGGAUUCACUGGGCGUAAAGGGUGCGUAGGUGGUGAGGUAAGUCGGAUGUGAAAUCUCCGAGCUCAACUCGGAAAUGGCAUUGGAAACUACCUUGCUAGAGGAUUGGAGGGGAGACUGGAAUGCUUGGUGUAGCAGUGAAAUGCGUAGAUAUCAAGCGGAACACCAGUGGCGAAGGCGAGUCGUCUGGACAAUUCCUGACACUGAGGCACGAAGCCAGGGGAGCAAACGGG
rnacentral:rRNA from 1 species